rnacentral:rRNA from 1 species
ACUGUACAAAGGUAGCAUAAUAAUUAGUUUCUUAAUUAGGAACUGGAAUGAAUGAUUGAACGAGAUAAUAACUGUCUCAGUUUUAUUUAUAGAAUUUUAUCUUUAAGUAAAAAAGCUUAAAUUUAUUUAAAAGACGAGAAGACCCUAUAGAAUUUUAUAAGGCUUAUUUUAUGAGAAUUUUGGUAUUUAUUAUUCUUAUUUUUUUUGGUUUAUUUAGUUGGGGUGAUUGAAAAAUUAAUUUAACUUUUUUUAUAAUUUUAUAUUUAUAUAUAUAUAUAUUGAUCCAAUAUUUUUGAUUAUAAGAUUAAAUUACCUUAGGGAUAACAGCGUAAUUUUUUUAGAGAGUUCUUAUCGAUAAAAGAGAUUGCGACCUCGAUGUUGGAUUAAAGUUAAUUUUUAAUGUAGAAGUUAAAAUAUUAGGUCUGUUCGACCUUUAAAUCUUUACAUGACGAUGUGUAC